CCUACGUGAGGCAGCAGUGGGGAAUAUUUGACAAUGGGGGAAACCCUGAUCCAGCGACGCCGCGUGAGUGAAGAAGUAUUUCGGUACGUAAAGCUCUAUCAGCAGGAAAGAAAAUGACGGUACCUGACUAAGAAGCCCCGGCUAACUACGUGCCAGCAGCCGCGGUAAUACGUAGGGGGCAAGCGUUAGCCGGAUUUACUUUGCGUAAAGGGAGCGUAGGCGGCCUGCCAAGUCUGAUGUGAAAUACCGGGGCUCAACCCCGGGGCUGCAUUGGAAACUGGCAGGCUGGAGUGCCGGAGAGGCAGGCGGAAUUCCUAGUGUAGCGGGGAAAUGCGUAGAUAUUAGGAGGAACACCAGUGGCGAAGGCGGCCUGCUGGACGGUGACUGACGCUGAGGCUCGAAAGCGUGGGGAGCAAACAGGAUUAGAUACCCGUGUAGUC
rnacentral:rRNA from 1 species